AGGUCAUUUCAAAGAGGGCUUAUGGAGCUGUGAAACCAGGAGCUCUUAACGCUAUGACCAAAGAUUGAGUUCUCCAUAGGAUGCCAGUCAGUCAGUAGUGCUGUGUUUCCUGAGGAGAUACAAAA
ensembl:snoRNA